AAUGCCUCUGAUUAGUGCUCGGGGAAUAGGUGAGCGUCCCGAACACCAAUCAGAGGCAGGUGAAAAUAAUAAGCAACCAUGCUAACUAAAACAAACUCAAGGAUGCACAAAACAGGAACUGGGGGAGUCCAAAACUAACCGAAAAUACCAAAUAAUUAUCCGGGCCACGGAUCAUGACACAAAAAGCAUGUUGAUUCAACGUUGUAUUCGUGUUGUAGAAUAUUAGUUGGGAAAUUACCAACAUUUUAUGGUCAAAUCCAUGUCAGAACCAAACUUUGACUAGACGUCAUCAAAAAGCAUGUUGUUUCAACGUUGUAUUUGUGUUGUAGAAUAUUGCCUGAGGUUGUCUCUAACAUUAUGCCGGAAGAAUGAGAAUUUGUUCAGGUCUUCAUCGACGUCUGAGAGUCGUGUUGGCCGCCAGCAGUAGAAGUUGUCGGGGUGAUUCCGGGACCAGCAAGGUGACCUGCUGAUGGACCAUCAGAGAUGUGUGGGGGUCAUUGCUGGGCCCGUCUGCGUGGACAUGUCACACCGCAGGAGAAAAGCAGGAAACAGAAGAGGAACUGACUGCGGCAGUGGCGAUCGAUGAUGUUUAAGAGGGGAGAAGGAGGAAAGAUCAAGAGGAAGAGGUGGAGUAUCCGCAGGACUACAGCAGAAGCAAAUCAAGAACGAUCCGAGAAGGAGCCCCAGGGGAAGACAACAUUACCGGCAGCUGAUAAGCUGACCAAGACGAGCAGCGGAGGAGGAGGAGCCGA